rnacentral:rRNA from 1 species
UGGGGAAUUUUCCGCAAUGGGCGAAAGCCUGACGGAGUGACGCCGCGUGUGGGACGAAGGCCUUCGGGUCGUAAACCACUGUCAGUGGGAAAGAUGGGUGUCGGCGUGAUAACCGCCGGCAUUUGACGGUACCUGCAGAGGAAGCCCCGGCUAACUCUGUGCCAGCAGCCGCGGUAAGACAGAGGGGGCAAGCGUUGCUCGGAAUUACUGGGCGUAAAGGGCGCGUAGGCGGGAUGGCAAGUCGGUCGUGAAAUCCCUCGGCUCAACUGAGGAUCGUCGAUCGAUACUGCCGUUCUUGAGGAUUGCAGAGGAGACUGGAAUUCCCGGUGUAGCGGUGAAAUGUGUAGAGAUCGGGAGGAACACCGGUGGCGAAGGCGGGUCUCUGGGCAAUUCCUGACGCUGAGGCGCGAAAGCGUGGGGAGCAAACG